GCACGUGACCACCAAGGGAGCUUUUGAAAACUACCGGUGCCUGGGCUGGCAUUCCCAGAGAUUAUUGCAACUGGCUGGGGUGGGUUCUGGCCGCUGGUGUUGUCUAAGAGCUUUGGCACAGAAACACUCUCCACUGCGGCCAAGGAUUGCAGGAGAGGUGGCAUCAGUGAUUCAAGACUUCUUUUCCUACCUCUUCAGUGUUUCUUUCAGUGAUCUGAAGUUAAAGCCAGGGGGAAUAUCACAGAAGUGAAGUGCAAUUCUCAUCAUGUCAUAUCAAGAGCACACACUAACAAACAACAUGACUUAUUGCUGAAUAUUGAACUUGAUCACCUGGCUGAGGUAGUGUUUGCCAGAUUUCUCUGUAAAGGUGAAUAAACUGACACUGGAACAUUCAGGAACUUCUUCAUGGUCAUGGUCACCCAGCUAGAGUGUGGAAGCCAGGCUGUCUGAUUCCAGGAUCUGUGUUCUUAAUCCUAUACAUAAGGAAGCCAUAAUGAGUCAACCACUAUUUUUAAGAUUCACAGAUGUUCGGGUCCAAUUCACCAGAAUGCCAAGUUAUACAGGGUUGUGGAAUCAAAAACUGCAAUUAGUAAUAAAAUGUGAUGCUAUCUAGAAUGUUUUUCAUACAUAUAUAUGCUUCUUGGGACUCUCCCUGCAGGUUAAGAGAAAUUGAGAAACGAUGGAGAAUUUAAGUGUUUUAGAUCCUACAUACAUUAGACUUAAAAAUAGUAACUAUGUACAUGAGUAUUUGUAAACUUAAGAAUGAACAUAACAUGAACCAUGUGGCACCUAUAAAAUGAAAAUAAAAUACCUACAAACCAAAUGAGAGCAAUAAAAGAAGCUUUAAGGACUUUCACUUCAGGGAGUCUGAAUUAGAUGCGCUUCUUCCCAUUCCUCCCUCUAAUUACAACAAGCUUGGACGUUACAUACAGAACAAACAGAAGGAGUCUCUGAAAGAUGAAGAGAAGGCAAGUAAGCUACAGACUUCACAAUGUAAGGAAUAAUAUGGUGGUGAGUUACAUUUGUGAUUUUUUUUUGUCUCAUAUCCCAUAAUAUCUCAUAUCUCAUAAUCAGUUAGAAAGCACAAUGGAAAAGUAUUCCACUGCCAAUGGUGUUAGAGAACUGCUCACAAAUUCAACAGAAAUGCACAGAUACCAAAGCAGAAAGGACAAUAAACAAGAGUCUUCAUGGUCAAAAGAUUAGAAGCUGCAGCUUUCAAUGGGAGGGACAGGUUCUGGACCACACUGCAGUGCUUUUCUGCUUUCUGUGCUUUCCCACUCUAGAGCUGAAGAAGGUAACGACCCCAAAAUGUCAAUAUACGUAGACCAAAAACCAGCCCCAAUAAAAGUCUGCUCUCUCUAGCCAAAGGACUACAGUAGGGCAGCCCAGCAAGACAGAAAACCUUCAGACAACCUACCCCAGCCAAACACUACCAAAAAAAGUAAA
rnacentral:lncRNA from 1 species